rnacentral:rRNA from 1 species
AUUGAACGCUGGCGGCAUGCCUUACACAUGCAAGUCGAACGGUAACAGGUCUUCGGAUGCUGACGAGUGGCGAACGGGUGAGUAAUACAUCGGAACGUGCCCGAGAGUGGGGGAUAACGAGGCGAAAGCUUUGCUAAUACCGCAUACGAUCUCAGGAUGAAAGCAGGGGACCGCAAGGCCUUGCGCUCACGGAGCGGCCGAUGGCAGAUUAGGUAGUUGGUGGGAUAAAAGCUUACCAAGCCGACGAUCUGUAGCUGGUCUGAGAGGACGACCAGCCACACUGGGACUGAGACACGGCCCAGACUCCUACGGGAGGCAGCAGUGGGGAAUUUUGGACAAUGGGCGCAAGCCUGAUCCAGCCAUGCCGCGUGUAGGAUGAAGGCCUUCGGGUUGUAAACUGCUUUUGUACGGAACGAAGAGACUCUGGUUAAUACCUGGGGUCCAUGACGGUACCGUAAGAAUAAGCACCGGCUAACUACGUGCCAGCCGCCGCAGUAAUAC